ensembl:lncRNA
AAUAUGAAGUGAUUUUAUGGAUUUGGUUAGGCUCAUUGUAGGACAGAUGAUUUAAAAAGGCACUAGGGAUAUUUUCAUUAUCUCAAAAUAUUCUUACAAUCUUCCUUUCUGGUCCAGAUUAUCAUUUCAGUGAAGUGGAAGAAUUCAAUAGAAAGAUUGACAAACAAUUGAGGAAAGAAGAGAGAUCAUUCAGUUGAGUUGAAGCCUACAACCAUUCUAUCCAUGCAGCAACUGAUGGAAAAGGGGUUCGCUUUGGUGCUGUUGUCGCAAAAAUUAUAUAUAUAUAUAUAUAUAUAUAUAUAUAUAUAUAUAUAUAUAUAUAUAUAUAUAUAUAUAUAUAUAUAUAUA